rnacentral:rRNA from 1 species
GACGAACGCUGGCGGCGUGCUUAACACAUGCAAGUGGAGCGACGAACCAGGGCUUGCCCUGGGGCAGAGCCGCGAACGGGUGAGUAACACGUGGGUAACCUGCCUCGAUGAUCGGGACAACCCGGGGAAACCCGGGCUAAUACCGAAUGUGCUCCGACCACAUCAGUGGACGGCGCAAAGGAAGCUUCGGCCUCCGCAUCGAGAUGGGCCCGCGGCCCAUUAGCUUGUUGUUGGUGUAAAGGCCCACCCAGGCUUCGAUGGGUAGCUGGUCUGAGAGGACGAUCAGCCGCACUGGGGCUGAGAGCCGGCCCAGACUGCUACGGGAGGCAGCAGUGGGGCAUCGUUCGCAAUGCGCGAAGGCGUGACGCAGCAACGCCGCGUGGGGGAAGACGGCCUUAGGGUUGUAAUCCCCUUUCCGGAGGGACGAAGGUCGGCGCGUUAAUAGCGUGGCCGACUUACGGUACCUCCACAGGAAGCCCCGGCUAACUACGUGCCAGCAGCCGCAGUAA